UGUGCUUCUUAUAAACAGGCUACCUGUAUC
rnacentral:piRNA from 1 species